CUAGUACUCUCUUCGUUCGGAAAUACUUGUCGGAGGAAUGGAUGUAUCUAGUCGUAUUUUAGUUUUAAAUGCAUCCAUUUUUAUCUAAUUAUACGACAAGUAUUUCCAGACGGAGGGAGUAGAAC
rfam:Triticum urartu cultivar G1812 contig1155934, whole genome shotgun sequence.